CCUACGGGCGGCAGCAGUGAGGAAUAUUGGUCAAUGGACGCGAGUCUGAACCAGCCAAGUAGCGUGAAGGAUGACUGCCCUAUGGGUUGUAAACUUCUUUUAUAUGGGAAUAAAAUGUUCCACGUGUGGGAUUUUGUAUGUACCAUAUGAAUAAGGAUCGGCUAACUCCGUGCCAGCAGCCGCGGUAAUACGGAGGAUCCGAGCGUUAUCCGGAUUUAUUGGGUUUAAGGGGAGCGUAGGUGGAUUGUUAAGUCAGUUGUGAAAGUUUGCGGCUCAACCGUAAAAUUGCAGUUGAUACUGGCAGUCUUGAGUACAGUAGAGGUGGGCGGAAGUCGUGGUGUAGCGGUGAAAUGCUUAGAUAUCACGAAGAACUCCGAUUGCGAAGGCAGUUCACUGGACUGCAACUGACACUGAGGCUCGAAAGUGUGGGUAUCAAACAGGAUUAGAUACCCUGGUAGUC
rnacentral:rRNA from 1 species